rnacentral:lncRNA from 1 species
AUUCGGAGUUACGCCCACCCAAAUUAGGCCCAGAUAUCUCAUAAUUUCAUGGUCCUCCCGUGUCCGGAUUUUUCCAGUGACAUCUUGUGAUUACCUCAUUCUUCAGUAGCUGAGGAGUCCCAAUUUCAUGGUCCUCCUGCAUCCAGUUUCUUCCAGUGACAUCUUGUGAUUACCUCAUUCUUCAGUAGCUGAGGAGUACCAAUUUCAUGGUCCUCCUCAGGCCAGUGACCAUUUGGGUAACCCUCAAAAUUUGCAAAUAUCAAAAUUCAAGUCCUCUGAGUAUUCAGGAUAAUAUUACCCACCAGGCAGGCGUAUAUAGCAUCCACAUUUCAUAUAUUGUGUCUAGCAUAAGUGAACUUAGCACUAUCAUAACCAUAGUUUUUGUAUAUUUCCAGAAGGAAUUCAUUCGCCACAGCAGACAGCCCAUACCGCUAUUGUAAGGGCGCCACGCAGCUGCCAUACCUGACCGGACUUUUGUGCAAGUGUUACCAGACAGUGCUGUGUUACAAGGUUGAGGGUGGAGCUACGUGCGUUCAUGCGAAUCAAUCUAACGAGCAUCCACAGUGUGGCAGAAAAACCUCUGUCUGAACUGCGUUCAUCCAUGGAACAAAUCUCACAGCUGUCGUGGUAGUUGCAAAACUUGUGGCAGCUCGGACUUCUUUGGUCCAGUCCUAUCUGAAAGAAAACUAUGGCAGCAGAAGUCACCACAGAGGGUCAUGUGUGGACCACUGAGCAACAAAAGUGAAAUUUAUUUGGGAUUAAAAGUUAACAGACCGUUGUGCAACCCGGCGAUAAUCUUGUAUUAAAGGAAGUUCUUAUGUUGCAAGCACAAGUUAUAAAGUUAGUAAAGGCUGUUAUUAAUUACAUCUGAUGACUUUUGUUGCUGCGAGAGUGUCGACCAUGUUCAUCUACUGAAGCUGCAAUGACAUCCACUAUCUCAUAGAAUGUUCUAUGAGCAGUACUUUGAGAAAAAUUAUAUGUCAUCAGCAGCUAAGAAUGUCUCUGGUUUGCUCAACAUCCAAACUGUAAAAAGUAUUUUCUCCUCAAGAGGUAUUUCUAUAUUUGCAUAUGAUUAUAUAUUUGGCUGAUUAAUUCUCCCUCCUAUAACUUCUAAGAGCACCUGAAAAUGUUGAUGUUAAUCUUUGUAGAAUUGGAAUUUAAUAAAAAAAAACA